rnacentral:rRNA from 1 species
CCUACGGGAGGCAGCAGUAAGGAAUAUUGGUCAAUGGACGAAAGUCUGAACCAGCCAUGCCGCGUGAAGGAUGACGGCCCUCUGGGUUGUAAACUUCUUUUAUAGGGGACGAAAAAAGGGUAUUCUUACUCACUUGACGGUACCCUAGGAAUAAGCACCGGCUAACUCCGUGCCAGCAGCCGCGGUAAUACGGAGGGUGCAAGCGUUAUCCGGAUUCACUGGGUUUAAAGGGUGCGUAGGUGGGUCUAUAAGUCAGUGGUGAAAUCUCCGAGCUUAACUCGGAAACUGCCAUUGAUACUAUAGGCCUUGAAUUAUCUGGAGGUAAGCGGAAUAUGUCAUGUAGCGGUGAAAUGCUUAGAUAUGACAUAGAACACCAAUUGCGAAGGCAGCUUACUACGGAUAUAUUGACACUGAGGCACGAAAGCGUGGGGAUCAAACAGGAUUAGAUACCCUGGUAGUCCACGCCCUAAACUAUGGAUACUCGACAUCAGCGAUACACUGUUGGUGUCUGAGCGAAAGCAUUAAGUAUCCCACCUGGAAGUACGACCGCAAGGUUGAAACUUAAAUGAAAUUGACGGCUGAGACGNGACGACGACGACGACGAGGGAGGAGG